GCGACCUCAGGUCAGGCGGGGCCACCCGCUAUUUUU
rnacentral:rRNA from 1 species